rnacentral:siRNA from 1 species
ACGAAAAGUUACGAUGAAAAGAC